rnacentral:rRNA from 1 species
AGGUGGAGCUCCCGGCCCGCGCCUCCUCCUCCCAAGCCAAGGCGAGGGAGACGCCGCCGCCCUCCUCGGCGGCUUCCGCCACCACCGCAUCACCCGCGGAGGACGCGCUGCUCCUCCCGGGCGAGGGCGUCGUGCGGCGGCGCGCGGUGAGGGAGCGGUUCGCGGCGCGCAGUCUCUCCUUCCGCCGGGACGUCGGCCACGCGGCCUCCGAGACCUUCCUCCUCACCCGGCUCACUCUCACCCUUCUCCGCUACCUCGGGUACCCGCCACCAGUUCCAUUUCCACUCGCUACUUUGCGCUUUCGCUCUGUUGCCACCACUUCCACUUGGUGAUCUGCUUGUGCUUUUGGUCCAAUUUCAUAGUUGUUGUGGGGCGGAGCUAGCUCCCGGCGACCCCGGGCGGCUGGUCUUCCUAAGUAUUUUUGUCAUGCAUGUGAUGGGAUUAGUAAUGAUGCCGGGGCCAAUGGUGGCCAGCGUUCCACUGAGUAGACCUUGCCCAGGCUCCCUGAAUAGGCUGGCUCCGCCCGUUUUGGCAUUUAUUUCGGAGAAUUUGUGUGUCUCAACAUGUUUAGCACUGAGCGGGAAUGCACGAUAAUGGCAGGAGAGCUGAUCAUCUCAUCUCGCCGAAUUUAAGUACAUAAGCAUAAUGAAGUGGUUUAGUAGAUAAGUAGAAUGGUUUCAGGUUAAGUCUGAGGCAGAUUUAGCUAGUGGGGUUUCUCAUAAUUUUUCAAACUUCCCAUUCAUUGUGGAACAUCGGGUGAUCCCGGUUCGAGAAAACUGAAGGGGGUGGAAGGAAACAUGGAGAAAAGUCUCAGUCAUUGAUGAUUAUUCGGUUCAUCGCAAUAACUUGUCAGAUUUAUGCAGGAUAGGCUACAGAUGGAUUCGUCAGUUCCUAGCCCUCUGUUGUUAUGCUCUAUUGCUCAUGCCUGGUUUUAUUCAAGUUUUAUAUUAUUACUUCUUCUCAAGCCAAGUUCAUAGAAGUGUUGUAUAUGGAGAACAACCAAGAAACAGAUUGGAUUUGUAUAUACCAGCUGGCACCAGAGGGUUGAAGCCAGUUGUGGCAUUUGUCACUGGUGGGGCAUGGAUCAUAGGGUGAGUACAAGUACAAAGGGUGGGGUGCCCUUUUAGGCAGACGCUUGGCAGAAAGGGGCAUCUUAGUUGCAUGCAUUGAUUACAGAAAUUUCCCUCAGGGGACUAUUGGUGACAUGGUAGAAGAUGUAUCCCAAGGAAUCUCAUUUGUCUGCAACAAUAUAGCUAGCUAUGGAGGUGAUCCAGAAAGGAUUUAUCUUGUUGGACAAUCUGCUGGUGCACAUAUUGCUGCUUGUACUCUCGUAAAUCAGGCUAUCAGAGAAUGUGGCGAAGAUACUUCCACUUGGAGUGUUGCGCAACUAAAAGCAUACUUUGGUAUUUCUGGCGGUUAUAAUCUUCUUAACUUGGUUGAUCAUUUCCAUAGGCGUGGUCUGUACCGGUCUGUCUUUCUCAGCAUUAUGGAAGGUGAGGAAUCAUUGAGGAAAUUUUCUCCAGAAGUGAUGGUUAAGGACGUAGCUGUUAGAUCCGCAGUUUCUCUAUUGCCUCGGAUUAUCCUUUUUCAUGGGACAAGUGACUGCUCAAUGCCUUCUGCUGAAAGUGAAGCAUUCCUUGACGCUUUACAACAGCGUGGUGCUAAAGCGGAUAUAUUCUUAUAUGAAGGAAAGACACACACUGAUUUAUUUCUUCAGGAUCCUCUUCGGGGCGGUAGGGAUAAGAUGCUGGAAGAGAUUGUCGCCGUGAUACAAAAUGACGAUCCAGGGGCGUCCGCGCAGCACCUUGCCGUGCCCAUUGCACGCCGUCUUGUUCCUGAAUUCAUGCUGAGGCUUGCUGGGAGAGUGAGCCCUUUCUGAACGUGGUGGUGAUUACUGGACACGACGACUAGCGAGGCAAUUUACUGCAAGAACCAUAUACUUACUAGUUAGCUACAGAAUUCGUUUGGUGGCCCGCUGCACUGUUAAUUAACCAGAGAUGUAUCUCGCUGUUCUGUAUGAGUUGUGUAAAGGCAGACCUUACUGUAGAUGACUGCCACUGCGGUAUACUUGUAUUGUAUCUCAGUGUAUAGUAUGGCUCAUUAUUUUCUUAGCUCUUGAGCCUCGCAUUGUAUCUUGUGUAAUUGGAACAAAGGCCAGCCUGUGGUUGAUAUCGACUGUGAAACCUAGUUUGUUAUGGAAAUGCCGAUGGCUCACAAAAAUAUGAAUAGAAAAUGGAACCAAGUCAAUUUGCAC